CGAGGACAUAUUGCGCAAUGCUCGAAAGGCUGACGCAGCGACGACGCGUAAAGGAUGAAGUCCGUUAGGACGUAUACUUAUUGAGUGGGGCACGAACGAAUCGCUAUAUGCGUGAGUGAUAGUAUCCCAAGAAUAAGGAUCGGCUAACUACGUCCAGCAGCCGCGGUAAUACGUAGGUUCCGAGCGUUGUCCGGAAUUAUUGGGUGUAAAGGGUGCGUAGGUGGGCGUGUAAGUCGGUGGUGAAAUCCUGCAGCUCAACUUUAAAACUGCCUUCGAAACUGGACGUCUUGAGUAUGGCAGAGGGAUAUGGAAUUCAUGGUGUAGCAGUGAAAUGUGUAGAUAUCAUGAAGAACAUCAGUAGCGAAGGCGGUUUCCUGGUCCGUUACUGACACUGAGGCUCGAAAGCGUGGGGAGCAAACAGGAUUAGAUACCCUGGUAGUCCACGCCUUAAACGAUGGGCACUCGGUGGUGGGCCAUCAAGGUUCAGUGCCCAAGCUAAAGCAUUAAGUACUCCACCUGGGGAGUACGAUCGCAAGAAUG
rnacentral:rRNA from 1 species